CCCACCUACCCAAGUGGGUUUACAUCACCAACGGAAGGUUUCUCCGUUCAGCACCAAGAAGUUGUCUCCAUAUCUGCCCUUGAUAGGUUUGACACGUGGUUGUAGAAUUUGUCUCAAGAGAGGUCUCGAAGCUGAGUUUGGAGGCGCACGGAGACAGAUGUGAGAUGGAUGUGCCGGUUCAUUUGGACUUGGGAAGGCACAUCCUGUCUGCUGUGGAGUAACCAUAUCACGAAUCUGGCAGCUGAGGGCUCGGCAGUUCUUGAUAGAUGGAGGGAAAAUGGCGAGUUUUGCCGAAACUAUCCGUCGCUUUUGGGAAUCAAGUGGGUGUCGAUCCGAAACAACAAGAUUGUUCGAAUGUAUGGCUACACGGACGAUCUGCGGUUCUCUCAGGUGUUUCUGUUGCAUACCAACUUUGAGGUGUCCAUUGAAGCCUCUUCGGCGAAGAACCAGCUCCUGGAUGAGUUAUGGAACUCGGAUGCAGUCUUGUUUGUUUCAGCACGUGACCAGGAUAGAUUCUACUAGUUCUCCUACACCACCGAGGACUUCUUGACCGGCAGAGAUGCAAAUAACGAGAUGGAGGAAAGUUCCAAGGAGGAGGAAAAAGACAGAGAGCUCAAAUCGGCAUCUAGAGUUGUCUUGCACACGAAUCUGGGACACCGCCGCUACCCUGUUCCCUCAAGCUGCGCCCAAAACCUGUGCCAACUUCUCAGAGUUGUGUCCAAUUGAAUUGGACACUCGACUCCUCUACCUUCCACCGAAUCAUCAAGAAGUUUAUGAGCCAAGGAGGAGAUCCAGACGGAAAUUGUACUGGUAGUCAGCAUCUGGGGCUAGAACUUCGAGGAUGAGGGAAGCAAGGAUCGAUAAUAGACUGGCUGAAGAGAGAAAAUGCACUUCUUUUGAACUCGGAGACUCUUCGUUAUGGAGCUGAAGCAUUGUAAGUGCUUUUCUCUGCUAGUCUCUUCAUGAUCGAAUUCAAUAACGGUGAGGUUGGUGUAAUUGAGAGCAGUGAGAAUAUCAAUAUCACCGGUUACGGAUACAUACUUCCUAUUAAACUCCUUUUCACCUUCGCCUUAAUCAUUCUGAGAAUGUCCGCCCCGGUAUGUGUGACAUUAGCAGAGAAAGCAUCCCCAGAAGUCAGUCCAUCUCGAACCUGAAACACACUGCAAUAUUGCUAUGCGAGAUCCUGAGGCCCUUUGUGGAAGUAGAGCUACGCGCU
rnacentral:misc_RNA from 1 species